UUUAGGGGCGACACACAAAAGGAAGAAAAGUCAUAUUUAUGAUUGAUUAUAUCUCCGCUACUUUAUUGAAAAACAUAACGAGAAUGGCAAGCAAUGUGAGCAAAGCUUCUUAAUGAUCAAAAUUACUUUAUGAUUCUAAUUUUUCCGACAUUUUGCAAAUUUUGGAUAUUAUGGUCAUUAAAAUGAACAUUUUAAGUGGAAAUUAAAUUGUCGACAUUCAUCGGAUGUUUUUGCCACACAAAAGGGCAAAACAUGCAAUGUAGCAGUUAACAAUCAGCCUGUAUUAGAAUUUAUGCAUAGAUUACCAUUUCACCGCAUCGAUACGCUACGUAUAAUUGAAUAUGCUCUGCUUUGUCAGGCCAGCUUCUAAAGGCGGAGAUCAGCGGUAUAGCUGAAGGAAACAGAGGACGGUUCUAACGAGCCUUUGCAAACACUGUAAUAUAUGUGCAUUAUCCAAGUCCAAUUCCGGUGGCAAGUAAAAUGGAUACGGUCAUCUGGUAAAUUACAGAUAUUUAUAGUUUAAUUGCUGUAAACAUCCAAUCAGCAACCAGAGAUUUAUGCAGUACCAAUUAAGUGAGUAUAUUUUAAUUGGCUUAUAUGGC
rnacentral:lncRNA from 1 species